rnacentral:rRNA from 1 species
UACGUAGGCAGCGAGCGUUGUUCGGAGUUACUGGGCGUAAAGGGCGCGUAGGCGGCUUUUCAAGUGACGGGUGAAAUCCCUCGGCUUAACCGAGGAACUGCCUGUCAGACUGGAAGGCUUGAGACCGGGAGAGGUGAGUGGAAUUCCCAGUGUAGCGGUGAAAAUGCGCAGAUAUCAGGAGGAACACCGAUGGCGAAGGCAGGUCUCUGGGCAUUAACUGACGCUGAGGAGCGAAAGCAUGGGGAGCGAACAGG